CAUGUUUGACAAAUCUGUGGGCCUGAUUUACGAAGAUCACAAAUAAUGGACACAAAUUUACUUGCUCGAGCUAAAAAAUGCAUGUGCUAUUAAUUUGCGUGUCACAGGUGAUCUACUCAGAUUUCCUGCACAAAUGUCAACAGGUCAAAGUCUUGGAGACCGCCCUAUUUAAAUGAGGAGUUUGCACGUGCUACUGGUUGUCGUCAUGGAGACAGUACACUGUAAAGAGUGCUCUGGGAUACACCAGCACUAAUGGGAACAGUGAGUGGAAUGAUCCAGAUGUAAAUGUACUGUAGGAGGAGUUUAGUCAUAGAAGGUACUCAUGACUCCUGUGACUGGACCCAGAUCAGCCCCUCAUUCAUGUAGAAGUUCUGCAAUGGCAUUGUGGGUAGG